UGUCUGUGCUCAACCUUGGCCGUGUCAUGUGACUAGUCAUUUCAAUCCUCCCUAGUUGUCAUGCCAACGGUUCAUCCGAGGCAGUCGUGCCAGUUCAGUGGAGGGAUGUCUGCGCUUCACAGAUGGGCAGACAGACCUGCAGCGUCAAACUUCGGUUGCCCCCAUCCGGUAGUGACAGGAAUUACAGAAGCAUCAGUGUGACGUUACAACCUACACUAAAGAAGUGUGGACCGAACCACUCCUUACCUAACAUUGAGCUGUCUCAAGGUAUCACUUAUGGGGCUUUAGAGCUUUUGUUGUGAGGAGGAGGAUUUAAUGAGCCAGAGCCUCAGGCAGUCCCAGUCCAGAUGGGACACAUAGGCCUUCAGUGUGUCCUAGGUCGGCCCAGAGGUCUUAUUUCAGUCAGUCUUACCCGGAGCACCUCCAGACACAAAGCGUUCAGGGGGCGUCCUCACCAGCUGCCCUGCUCAUAUCUGCUCACUGCCACAGUCUGACUCAACCUCUAUCUCAGACGCUCAGUCUCACUUUGUUUGUUAAAGUCUCCGAAGAAUAAAAGUAAGAAGUCUACUGCUCCCCUCACCUGGAUGAGACCGGCUCCUUUGUUCCAGGAGGAUUGUAGGUGGUCUCCUCAUUUGAACUGUGUAAAGCUGAAAUACAAACUGCUUCAGUGCACUUUGAGGAUGACGGUUCGAUGAAUCCAGGAGUAGAAG